rnacentral:rRNA from 1 species
CCUACGGGAGGCAGCAGUGGGGAAUAUUGCACAAUGGGCGCAAGCCUGAUGCAGCCAUGCCGCGUGUAUGAAGAAGGCCUUCGGGUUGUAAAGUACUUUCAGUCGUGAGGAAGGCGGCGUCGUUAAUAGCGGCGUUGUUUGACGUUAGCGACAGAAGAAGCACCGGCUAACUCCGUGCCAGCAGCCGCGGUAAUA